GGAUCCAAAUGUUUACUAUGCAACCCCUUACCGCAAGCCUGCAGGAAAUGAAUCCAAAGUAUCUGGGAUAGUUCAGAGCACAUAGGAUAGCGUUAGGCUCAUAUUGAUUUCACUUCCUUGUCAUUGCUAAAUAGGUCGCAAAACUAUUCCUAGGGGAGCUGCUCCGUUCUAUAGUGCUACUGAGACCAGGUAGUAUAUUUACCAAGCAUGUCAAAUUGACUGAUUUCCUAAUAUGUAUUUCCCUUUGAAUCUUCCUGGUCACCGUGCUGCCGGUGGUUCUAUGAAUACGUUAAUGAGGAGCAAAAGCAAAAAGUUUGGUCUGCUCCAUGUUCGGAACGCUUAAGGGUUGAGAUUUGGACCGUGGAUAGAACCUACGAGGCCAGAGAUUCAUCUGCAGAUGUGGGCAACCUUCCUCAACACAUCUGUUUGUGCUUUGGUGUGCACGUCGUCUGGUACACAACACAACGGGGGAAGAGCCUUCGGUCGGGAAGAAAGAAGAAAACUAACAAACAAGGAGGAGGAGCUGGACGGAGGGAACGGGGACUCCAGUGGUUGUGCGUUCAUGGCACGACGCUGGAGAGCUGGUUGAAAAACAGAGUGACACUUACAAAAACAUUCAAAACUAGGACAAUGCAUUUGAGUCGAUAGGUUAGCAGAGUUUAGCGGUUUGUAAUAUGUAGGGACUGACGGCUUAAUAUGUCAGGGGAUAUCAUAGAAAAAAGUUCACUAUUUCCUUUUCUAAUUGUUCCUUUAGAAGAUUAUGGCUGCACUAUUGCCAAUAGUGCAACCAUAAUCUACAAGCAAAGGUCUUAAAGGAAAACCAGGCAACUGCACCUAUGCCAACAGCUGUCCUGCAAAUAUCUAAUGGAAAUAUUCCACUUUAUAGGCUCCGCUUAUGUUGCACCAGAACCUGUUACAUUCCAUAAUUCUUGUGCAUGUCUGGGUUUCCUUUUGAGUCACUGGGGUAACAGUUAUGUAACUUUUCCCUGUCCACGUCCCUGGGAGAACAUAAACACAUAAAACUGGUAUUGGCCGAACGCAGAAUAGAAAACCCAUCAGCUAUUCUGUUCUUACAACUAACAAACCCUACCAUGCCUGUUUGGCAGCAGUAGGAAUUAGCCACGUUGUACGAACAGCUUUUCUCUUUUUGGGGUUAUACGAGGGGGUUGGUGGUAUUUGUUUAUCGUGAGGGGCCAAGUAUGCAGCUCUCUCUUUCACUCUGCUCUUGAUGCGUGCGCAUUGAGUUUUUCAACCCUGUCUUGUCAACUGUACAAAUAGUCGGAUCCAAAAGGUUAUGACGGUAGUUGGCUUGCUCAUGGUGGCACUGACCCAAGUGACUCAUAGGCUAAUUAUAUUGCAUCCCUUAUCUCCCCUACUGUCUCUUUACACAAGACCAAUCUUAUCUCUCUAAUGAGCACACACACACACACAAACUUACAGGCCAGAGACCCGAAUCAUUUCCAGGAAAGAAGCUCUCCUUCUCUCCUCAUCAUCCUCCCCUUAUUCUAUUUCCAUCUCUCACUUCUCUGACUUGCACCUGUGAUGGAAAAUCUACAUGUUACGUUUUUCUUUAUGAACUGAGGGUUUGUAUACUAUUCCGUGUAUGAUCUUGCCACCCUAUUAUUGUGCAGGGUUGUCAAAAAUGUAAAUCUUAGUGUUUCGUGUGAUGUAAUCUGGUUUCACAUCCGUUUCCGUGUUGUCUGUAGUUUGGUAGCGCAGAGAAGCAAAAGGUGAUAAGGAACAUUCUCAACCUCUUAAGGAACUACAAUCAAUAGAUUAACAUCUGGUUAACAAAGGCUUUUGGUUUAUUGGGGGCCCACUGCCCUCAAGGAUCCGAUCUAAGUGUAUAAAAACUCCUGACUUUGGUCACUCAGCGGACUUCGCAGAGCGUACCUUUAGAGUAUGAAGUAAGACGCAGGGCGAACUCCCAUCUGAGGCCUCAGAUUAUUGUAAUGUUUGCCUGUUAUGUUGUUUGUUGAUGCAUGUUGUGAUGCAUCUUUGUUCAUACUUUUAUUGCAAAUAUAUAUGACCACCGAUUGUCU
ensembl:lncRNA